GGCGUCGGGUGCAGUGGUUCAGCACGCGCUCCCGGAAAGAGUGAGAUCUGGGAUCAAAUCCUAGCUGACGCUA